UAUUGUCAGAAUAAAGCUAUCAUGAUGUUUCUUCGCAACUGCUUGGUUUCUUGUGUGCACGUUCUGUCUUCCUUUGCCCGAAGGUGUGUUAGGUCUCUUCGUGGGGCUUUGGGACUGGGCCCGUCCCAAAGCCAGGGUGGGGACUGUACUGAGGUGACCGAGGUUAUGCGGGCACUACCUCCCGGUAGUGAUGAGGUCGUUGCUUUGGCUGUGACGGAGGAGCUGUCUACUGAGGUGACUCCCUUCGCUAGCCAGGACCCUGUCCGUCCCGUUGAUGUUGCGGUAAUCCCAGAGGAUACGCCCGCCGCUGACGUCGAAGGUAAUGGGGAAGGGGCUCCUCAGGAUGUCCAUCCUGUGGAGCUUGAGGUGGGUCCUGUACCCCAGGUGGAACCUUUCCCUUUUGUACCUGAGGUAGAGGUGCCUCUACCACCUCUUUUUGUCCCAGAGGUAGAGGUGCCCGCUCCAUUUGUGCCACAGGUAUCCCAGGUAUUCCCAGGGAACACCAGAGACAGGGAGUCUCUGGGAGGGGUGGACCAGGGUUUAGAGGUUAAUCCUGAGGGUAGGCCAGACUUAGAUGUAGAGGUUUUUGUCCCACGCAGGUCAACUAGGACCCGUCGACCUCAUGUGCCAAUGCAAGUUAUUUGGGGGGUUAAGUCCUAUGAUUAAUAGCCAAUGGCCUCACACCUUCCCCCCCUUGUGGUUGAGGAGAACAUGACAGAAAUAAGGGUGUUUGGUAUACUUUAACAUUUAGCUACUUGUUGAUAUUGUUAUUGUUUGUUGUACUUAUUUCUUUAAAUAUGCUUCAUUGUAUUGCCAAUUGUAUUGUCCAAUCAUCCUUAUCAUCAUCAUCAUCAUCAUCAUCAUCAUGACUCAUCAUGCAUUCAUUGUCAUCAUUCAUUACAAGAUUCAUCAGUAUUCAUUUUCAAUCAUCAUCAUCACAACCAUUAGUCAUUAUCAUAAACAUUUAUCAUCAUCAUCUUUUUAAUCAUCAUUCAUUAUUUUCAUCAUCAUUCACCAAGACUUAGCAUCACCAUCAUCAGUCAUUAUCAUAUCAUAUCAUACUGUUUGUUGUAUUAUUUUCUUAAUCUUUAGUUUAGUUAAGUUUCUUUGUAUUGCAAACUUGAAUACAACUUGAACAUCCUGGAGUCUGCUUACCGUGUAAUGUAAGAGGUGCUAGUGUUAAACAGUUGGUUUUUGCACCAACUGUCUUCAAGCUGAGUGACCAGUGCCUUAACCACUUGACCAGUGCUUCCCAUUAACUAUUUUUGUGAAUAAUUCUAUAUUUUUGUCAUCUUGAUUCAAUUUUGUUGUGCUCCUGUUCCUGUCUGACAUUUUUUCUAAAAGUAUUUUUGCUUUUCUAUUUUACUUCUUAACAUUUUUCAGUAUUCAAGAUAUCUUUAAUGAUUCUUCAUUAUAGUCACCUGAAUUCUCUUUUACCAAAACAAGUAAUUUUACAGACCAUAUUUAAUGUCUCUUGUACCAAUUAUACAGGCCUACUUACAAUUUUCAUAGGAUGUACUUUACUGAUAGUGAAUUUUCAAAUAAAUUUUUCUCUGUAACUUAACAGAUAGUCCUUAUUUUAAAUAAUACAAUACUGAAACAUUUCAUUAUAAAUUUUUGCAGCCUACUGUUAGACAGGGAGACAGGAAGGAUACUUAGUUUUCUUAGGAUGUAUUUUGCAGCCUACUGUUAGACAGGGAGACAGGAAGGAUACUUAGUUUUCUUAGGAUGUAUUUUGCGGAAAGAGAAUUUUCAAAUUGAUUUUUGGUUAAUUAAGACAUAGUAUAUCAUUUCAUUGAAAAUACUUUUAACAGUAUUUCAGUUAUGUAAUGUCGGGUAGUUAACUUAACCAGUGUUCCGUGAUUCUUUACCAUUACAAAAUUGUUCUCAGCAAGUAUCUGCCAACUUCCCCAGAUGAAUCAGAGAUGGAAAAAUAAUGAUGAGGCUUAUGUUCUCUGUGACAAUUUAAGAAUUAUUCAAGUCUAGGGAGGAUUCAGAUCAAUGGCAGUGAGGGAGACUUGAACCACUUGACCACAGGGACACUUUUGUUACAGAAGACAUGUACCGUAGUACUACAGAAUUACACAACAAGCAUUUAAACCGAUAGCAGUGAGAGAAGCUUGAACCACUUGACCACAGGGGCCCCUUUUGUUACAGAAGGCAUGUACAGAAUUUCACAGCUCAAACAAGCAUUUAAACCAGUGGUAAUGAGAGAAGCUUGAACCACUUGACCACAGGGGCCUCUUUUGUUACACAAGGCAUGUACAGAAUUACACAACAAGCAUUUAAACCAAUGGCAAUGAGAGAAGCUUGAACCACUUGACCACAGGGGCCCCUUUUGUUACACAAGGCAUGUCCAGAAUAUAUAUGUAUGCAAGGUGUUAAAUGUAUACCAAACAGUCAGAUUUCUUGCCAGUUCUUUGAAACCAUGUCUUAGUUAAGUGUACUGAUUGUUGUUGUUGUUGUAUAUAGUUUGUGUAUAUUGUGUGUGUGGAGGUUGAAAGCAUGUGUUAUGUGUUACCAGUAACAGUAUGUAUACUAUAAAUACUUAAAAGACAAUACCAGAUUAUCCAAGGAGACUGUUGAAAAAUGGCGAGCGAUAUUGCAUGCAGUACUGGAUUUUCCCAGGACCCAGCAAAAACAGUAUUUAUGGUAACCAUUCUUCAAUGCACAGUACUGGUUUUUCCAGGAAAGAAGAAUGUGUGAAAAGUCAUGUGUGCUUGUUCUGUGUGGUAGUGUGUGUUGUUUGUGUGUGUUUUUAUAAAAAAAAAAAAAUACAAAAAAAAAAAAAAAAAAAAAAAAAAAAAAAAUACCAAAAAAAAAGUUUGUGCAUGUUCUUUGUAGCAUUAUGUAUAAUAUAAUUAUGUAAAAGACAAUACUAGAUUAUCGGAGAAGACAUUGUUAGCAAUGGAAAGCAAUAUUGCAUGCAGUACUGGAUUUUCCCAGGACCCAGCAAUUUCCCAGGACCAGCAAAAACAGUAUUUAUGGUAACCAUUCUUCAAUGCACUGUACUGGUUUUUUCCAGGAAAUGAAAAGAAGAAUGUGUGAGAAGUCAUUUGUAGAGUUUUGAGUUAUUUGUUCUUUGUUAGCAUGUUCUGGUGGUGGUUUUACAAAAAAUACAAAAAAAAAAUGUUUAUGCAUGUUCUUUGUAGCAGUAUGUAUACUAUAAAUACAUAAAAGACAAUACUAGAGGAGACUUUGUUAAAAAUAGCGAGUGAUAUUGCAUGCAGUACUGGAUUUUCCCAGGAACCAGUAAAAACAGUACUUUAUGGUAACCAUUCUUCAGUGCAUGGUACUGGUUUAUUUCCAGGAAAUGAAAAUUGGAGAAUGUGUGAAAAGUCAUUUGUGCUUGUUUGACUUGUUUGUUUUUGGUUGCAUGUAUUAUACAAAAAUUACAAAAAAAUAAUAAACAAAAAAGGUCUGUGCAUGUUCUUGUCUGUGGUAUUUGAUGUAAUAAUGCAAAAUUUGUUUUGUGACUAUUGCAGGCAGCAAAGUAAGACCAUCAAAUUUUGUGGAUCAUAUUUUCUCAGAAGCAAAGAAAGAGCAGCUAAGUGUGAUUGACUGGGUUGUAUUAUGAAGCAAGAAAGGAAUAUCAAAGUGCAAUGGACAGGAUUUUCUCAAGAAGGAGAAAAAGAACAUGAGGAAGGAACAUAAAAGUGCAAAAGAACUUCGUCAUUGUAAUAUGCACAUGUUAUUAAAAGAAGUAAAGUUCAACUAUCAACAGUGAAACUAUUCUGGCUGUGAAGAGUUUGAGGCUCAAGAAGAAUGUGUUCAUCACUUGUCAGCAAUUACAGAACAGAGAUUACAGGAUCAUCAAAGACUGAAGUUAAGUUGCUUGUUUCUUGUUUAAUACUUAAUUUUAGGAUGGCAUAAUUGAAAUCUUAGAAGUUAAAUUUUACAUUUAUACUCUGUAGCAGAUACAUAUAAAGAUGUUAACAUUUUGUUGCUCACACUGUAUAUGCAUUACAUGUUGAUUUUUUACUUUAAUUUUACUAUAGUUAAAGGAAUAUUUAUAUUAUUGCCAUGAAAUUAAUGUUUAUUUAUAACUUUCAGUUGCAGAACUAUUCCAGCUCUGAAGAGUGUGUUAUAUCACCUGCCAGUGGUCAUGAGCUGAGCAAACCUGUCAAGCUCAUUACAGAUUUCACAAUAUUGAAAUGGAGGGAAAUGAAGAGAUGAUAGAUUCACAAGGUUCCCAUGACGAUUUUGGAGGGAAUGGAAGGGACAUGUAGAUCAUUGACAGAUGAAAUGAGGAAACAAGUGCUAGGUAUUUACAGUGCAACCUCUGUAGAGCAACACCCUUUUUGAAAGUAACAUCUUGGAUUUUAUGGACGAAGGGCCCUUACUUAAAGGUUUCAUGAAGGACUAUGAAGCUGGUCUCCAUACAGACUUGACUGGUUAUGGUUCCUUGAAGAUUUUAUGACAAGACUGGAGGAAGCCUAUUUAUUAGCAGACAGUGCCGAAUUGGUUAUUGUUGAAGAAUAGUAAAGUGUAUGCAAUUUGGAGAUCUCAACAGUUACAUGUAGUCUGGGAUAUUGUCAGUUGUAUGCAGUCAGGGGAUCUCGACAGUUGUAUGCAGUCAGGAGAUCACGACAGUUGUAUGCAGUCAGGGGAUCUCGACUGUACUUUGCAGUCCGGGGAUCUUGACAGUUGUAUGCAGUCAGGAGAUCACGACAGUUGUAUGCAGUCCGGGGAUCUCGACUGUACUUUGCAGUCGGGGGAUCUUGACAGUUGUAUGCAAUCAGGAGAUCAUGACAGUUGUAUGCAGUCCAGGGAUCUUGACAGUUGUAUGCAGUCAGGAGAUCUUUUAUCUUUUUGUACUGUUGACAGUCUCAAGAUUCUGUCUUAAAUAACACUUACUUGGACAGUUUAAAAGCAUCUCUGUAACUUGUCUGUGACAUUCUAAAGUAGAAGACAUGUAUAUGAAUAUUUAGUUCUGGCAUGCCAUACUUGAGCAGUUGAGUUUUGGAAAGGUGGCAGUUUGAAUGUUUACAGUGGUCUCUGUAAACUAUUAUUUGGCAAAUUAACGUGGAUUGUGGUAGUAAACAUGUUAUCAGUGGUGCAAGACUGGAAUUUUUACCAAAUUCAAAAGAUUUUGACUCUAAGGUGAAAAAGUGGACUAACUGCAUGCUGAGACAUCUAUACCUUUGCACAUGCUAUAAAGAAGUGUCAUCUGUUUUCAUGGGUAGUUCCGAGGACUUUAUAAGUAAUUUUUUGCAGUUUGUGUAUUUUUGAAUGUGUUGAAGCACAAUGAGGAACUUUUGGACUUAACAGCAGUUUCAGGACAACUGGUUCAGCUGGCCGAUCUGGGACGUCCAGUGCCCAGACUGCUGGUGCCGGAAACCCCACUGACGGGACAACUAGUUAGACUGGUUGGUCCGGGUACUCACAGACCCUGACAGCUGGUGCCACAAACCCCAUGGACGUCGGCAGGAAUGGAGUUCACCAUAUGGAGUCAGAAGAAACUGAAAACACAAAACUGUUUUGAUUAGUGAUGACAACCGCACUGAUAGGAAAACUGGUUCGGCUGGCCGGUCUCGGGUGUCCAGUGCCCAGACUGCUGGUGCCAUGAACCCAAAUGAUAGGACAACUGGUUCGGCUGGACGGUUUGGGUCCUCACAGACCCAGACUGCUGGUGCCGUGAACCCUACAGAUGUUGACAGGAAUGGAAUUCACCAUAUGGAGUCGGAAGAAACUGAAAACACAAAACUUUUUUGAUUAGUGAUGACAACCGCACUGACAGGACAACUGGUUUGGCUGGCCGGUCUGGGGUCUCCAAUGCCCAGACUGCUGGUGCCGCGAACCCCACCAACAGGACAACUGGUUUGGCUGGCCGGUUUGGGUCCUCACAGACCCAGACUGCUGGUGCCGCAAACCAUGGAUGUCCAUGGCUCUCAUCUGGUGGAAGAAACAGCUACAAGUUGUGAGCAGCAUAGAAACGAGCAUUCUGGAAAUCGAGGAUAUGAUUCCAGUCGUGACCAGGCUGGUGACCUUGAUUGUGGUCAUUGGGAUACGGAGGAUUUGAUAGAAAGGUGGGGAACUGCAGACAUGGCAUGAAUAAAGGACAGGGCGGGUAUCAUGGAAGAGGUGCAUUCGAUAAACAGGGCUGGAGUAAUAGAACUAUGAGAUAUUGUUCAGGAGAACGCAGUGGGCAUGAUUCUUACCACCCACACCCUGGGAGUUCAGUAGUAGAGGUUGACAGAGCAAAUUUCAAAGAUGAUAGGAAGACAGAGAGAGCACAGACACACAGACGAUAGCCGUCGAGGCUGCCAGCAUCUUGACCGAGACUUUUAUAAUUAUUGUAAUAAACUUGGUUGAAUGUGAAUGGAUGGAACACAAAUGGCUUCUCAGAUAAUUUUAAUUUUAGAGCAAAUUUUAUUGAUAAACUUCAUUUUGAUGUGAUUGUUAUUUCAGAAACACACCUAACAGGUGAUAAGAUAAUAGAACUGUCUAUGUAUUUUAUGGACACAAUAGAAAAAAUAUUCACGUAAAUGCACAAACUGGUUCAGGUGGAGUUUGUAUUUUUGUAAAAAGGUCUUUUGCAGAACAUUUUAGUAUUGAAAUUUUAGACAUAAGCUAUGAGGGAAUUUUAUGGUUAAGUUUUAAAUCUAAAGAAGUUUUGAGAAACCUUUUACUGUUUUUGCUUGCUUUUUGCCACAAAUGGGAUCUUCUGCAUAUGUGGAGAUCAUGAUUAUUUUGACCAACAGUUAAGUAAUAUGUACUAGUAUCAGAAAUUUGGUAAAUUAUUUAUUCAUCCGUGGAUUAGAUGUAAGAGAUAACCGGCAAAGUUCUGUACCAUUUGAAUUUGUAGAUGAUUCUGGGAUUUGUACUUCUAGCCCUGUUUUAGUUUUAGUUUUAAAUAUGUGGAAAACAGACUUUUAUAACUUACACUGAAAACUGACAUGUCUUUUGAAGGGAUUGCAGAUAUUGAAAGCAAAGUAUAUAUAGAUAAUUGUACUGAUCAAGACAUUCACAUUGUUUGAUGUUAAAACUGCUAUUUUUAAUGUUAAAAAUAAUAGAGUAAUGAGAUAUGAUGAAAUACCAAGUAUAUGUUUUAAAUAUGAGGCACAGUAUUUGCAUUUGAUGUUUAAUUUCUGUUAUAACACUGGCAAAGUUAUAAAAGCUUUGGGUAAAAAUAUUAUUAACCCUGUACUGAAAGGAUCUACAAUCACUACUAAGGAUCCGUUGUCUUACGUGGGUAUUUCUAUCACACCAGUCGUACACAAAAUUAUUGGUCAUUGUUAAAUAAGAAACUUACCUUAUUUGUUAAAACAAAUUGUAUUUUAUUUGAAGGCCAAAAUUGCUUAAUAAAAGUUGAAGUACCAUUGAUCAUCUAUCGACUUUUAACAAGUAUUGUUGGUACACGGUGGAAAAUGAAGUUGUUGACAUAUUGUUCAUUUAUAGACUUAAGGAAGGCUUAUGACUGUAUAAAUAGGCAAAUUUUAUGGUGUAAAUUAGAUAGCAUUUUAGGGAAUAAGUUAUUAAAUGCCACAAAACAUAAAUGUAUAGAGUGUAGUUUUAAGUGGUAACUUCAGAUUUUAAGUGUUGUGUGUUGUACAUAUCUCCUAUAUAUAACUCUGUUUAUAGUGGCAGUACCCAAACCAAAAUGUAUGCUUGCCGCAAGCUUGCGGCAAGCUUGUGACAAGCUUGUACAGGCUGAUAUACUCAUUUGUAUUGUAAAAAUGUUCCUCUGUGCUGAUGAUAAUAAAUAAUAAAUUAACAAAUAAAUAAAAUACAAUGUCAUUGUAAAUUUGAAAUGUUUCAAGAAAUGUUUUUACAAGAGAGUGUGAAAUAAGAAAUCAUCAUUCAGUUUUUAGCUGACCUGAGCACAAAGUGCCCAAGGUGAGCUUUUGUGAUCGCCCUGUGUCCAUCGUCCAUCGGCAGUGGCGGCAGCGUCAACAAUUUGAUUAUUAACACUCCAGAGGUCACAAUUUUGGCCCAAUCUUAAUGAAACUUGGUGAGAAUGUUACCCUCAAUAAAGUCUUGGACGAGUUUGAUAUUGGGUCAUCUAGGGUCAAAAACUAGGUCACCAGGUCAAAUCAAAGGAAAAGCUUGUUAACACUCUGGAGGCCAUAUUUAUGACUGUAUCUUCAUGAAACUUGGUCAGAAUGUUAAACUUGAUAAUCUGUAGGUCAGAUUCGAAUCUGGGUCAGGUGGGGUCAAAAACUAGGUCAUAUCAAAGGAAAAGCUUGUUAACACUCUAGAGGCUACAUUUAUGACUGUAUCUUCAUGAAACUUAGUCAGAAUGUUAAACUUGAUGAUCUUAAGGUCAAGUUUGAAUCUGGGUCAUGUCGGGUCAAAAACUAGGUCACAGGGUCAAAUCAAAGGAAUAGCUAGUUAACACUUUUGAGGCCACAUUUAUGACCAUAUCUUAAUGAAACUUGGUUAGAAUGUUAAUCUUGAUGAUCUCAAGGUCAGUAGGUCAGGUGAGCGAUACAGGGCUUUCAUGGCCCUCUUGUUUUGGGUCUGUAUGAACCAUGAGCUUAUACUACAAAGGGAUGAUAUCCCUGCAUAGCUUUUCUUCCAUGUGCACACUCUGAAUCUGUUGUAAGGUGUAUGUAAUACUUAUACUAAGAGCUUAAAAAAAGCUUCUGCCUCAAAAUUUCAAUAUACUUGAAAGAUACUACCUUACCUUUUAUUUUGUCAAUGCUUGUAGCCAGGUUGGUUUAAACAAAAUCCAUGAGCAACAGACUACAGGUUAAAAUAGAAAAGCUAUUCUUGCAUUUAGUAAAUAUUCAUAUGUUAGGGAUAUGGUAGGAUAAGGCAAAAAAAAAAACAACAACAAAAAACAAACUGGCUAUUGGUUUCAGAAAACUGCCAUAUCACCACAUUUUAAGGAUGGUUUUGGCCAUGUAUUUUUGGACUAAAUUUCAGUAGAUAGGGAUGGUAAGGUAGCAUAAGGUUUUUAUUACUGCCACUGUUGUGUUAAAGUGCAUUGUAUGAUUGUGUUUAAGUCAGCCCACAUCACAUAAUAAGGUAACAGGUAUUGCCAUAUCAUUGUAUAUGUGCAACAUUUGUAGCCAGGCUGUUCGCAAAAGUUUGGUAAAAAUCCAUCAUCAAGAGAGGGCUGCAUCUCGGAUCAUAUCGUUCUUUUAUGUUUAUACAAUAUUAAAGUUGUUUUUUUUUGACACUGUUUGAAUAUUAAGACUUUGACUUGAUGAUACUGGUAACAUUAAAGCCAGUUUUGAAUAAAUUGGUUAAGAAAAAAAAAAUAUUUCUUUGUGUUUCUUACAUGAUAAUGUUUUGAUAGUCUUAGCUGUUAGGGAUAUGGUAGAAUAAUGCUAAGUGUCUAAUACUGGCUACAGGUUUUUCAUGAAAACUACCAUAUCACCACAUUUCACUUAUAAGGGCAAUUUCGGCAACAUUUAUUCAUUUUUGGACUAAAUUUCAGAGAUAGGAAUUAGUUGCUGAAGAAAAUAGGAAAAUUAUCAUCAAUUAUUUUUAUAAGUUGUAAAUAAACAAUGUGUGUUUGAGCAGUGUGCAAGAAAUUUUGUGUGUCUUCCUGACAGCUGAUGAGAUACUACUGCAAAAAGACUGCCAGAAGUUUUGGCUUUUUGGCUUAUAUGGAGACUGGCAGCUGACCUUGGACGUGUAGUAUACUUGUUUUAUUCUAGCCACUGUCAAACUUGACAGUCUUAGGGAUGCAACACUACCAUGUCAUUGUGCUUGCACAUGAUUAUGUGGCAAGUUAAGCCAUUGAAGUUUGGAGAAAAUCCUCAACUUAUAAGUUUACUAGCAAGUCAAAGAAUAACAUGAGUUUAGCCAUUACAUUUUUCUGCAUUUUAGUUUAAACAAUUGUUGUUUAUUAUUGUGUUGUAUUAUUUUAUCAUUUAAGUUUCAUGUUAUAGGACUGUGGUAGAGUGGGUCAUUUGGUUAAUGAUCCUAUUAAAUGAUAGUAACUUGCUACAGGUCUAGAAAUAAAACUACCACUUUUUGCAUUUAAUAAUCUUAUGUUUAAGUGAUAUGGUAGGAUAAAGAAAGAAAUACUGGCAACUGGUUUCAGAAAACUAUCAUAUCACAAUAUUUCAAGGGAAGUUUUGGCCUCGCCGUGCUUUAAACAUUUUUUUUUUGUUUUCAACAGCUGCACGUGCCUGGAUUUUUGAACAUUUUUGAUCUAAAUUUCAAGAAAUAGGAAUGACAUGGUAGAAUAAAGGUUAAUGUCAGCAAUUGAAUUUUUAUUAAAAUAUCAAUGUGUAGGUAAAUUUUGACAUGUUAUAAGUAUAAAGGAUCAUAGAAUAAAUGAUAACUGAUUUUUUUAAAUAACACUGUUAAUUAUAGUAAAUGAAUGUUCAGUGAAUGAAUGAUGAUUGAAUUAUGGAGCAAAAAGGGUGGAUGAAUGUUGAAUGAAUUAUUUUGUAAAACACAAUGAGUGAAUGGUAAAUGAAUUUCUUUGUAAAACACAGUGUUUGAAUACUAAAUUCAAAAUUGCUUUUUAGAACAUUGGACAGACUGUAGCUAAAGUAGUGAUAUUGUAAAACAGUGGCAGGAUUAGUUUUUGUUACUUUUUGGUUCAAAAACUAGGUCACCAGGUCAAAUCAAAGGUAAAGCUUGUUAACACUCUAGAGGCCACAUUUAUGACUGUAUCUUCAUGAAACUUGGUCAGAAUGUUAAUCUUGAUGAUCUUUAGGUCAGUAGGUCAGGUGAGCGAUACAGGACUUUCAUGGCCCUCUUGUUUUUAAUGGAAGUACUUAAAGCUAUGAAUAUACUUGAACAAAGAUCAGUCACUUUUUUGGUUUGGACCUGUCGAAAAUGAUGAUGGAUGUGACUUUGACUGAAAAAGAUCAUAAACUGGACACCCUGGAAAAUGGAAAUAUGUUGUUUGAAUAAAUUAUUCUUUUUUCAGUCUUGUAAAAAAAAAAUCUUUGAAUGACCUCUCUUAAAAAUGUUGAUAGUUAUUUUUACCAAGGGCCUGUUAAUUGACAUGGAUUUUAUUAAAUUUUCAUAUAGUUUAAUUGCUUUUACAUAAAUUUUUAACUGAUUAAUGUAUUGUGAAAAUGAUACACAUGGGCUAAUUAUAGGGAAUUUUUGUAUGUCAGACUUUGAAUUUUUGUAAUAUUGCACACCAUCUGACAGUUGGUAUAUACAUGGAGGCUUGUUGUGUGCCAAAAUAAAAAGAUCUAAUUAUAUUCUUUCUACAGUAGAUAUUGAGUUUACAUGAAUAGAACAUACAGCAAAAAUAAUGGAUUGACAUGCUUGAUGUUUUGGUGAAUCUGCUUUGAAAAUUCACAACAAUUUACCAUUUUCCUAAUAAGAGUCUGAUGUAACAUCAUAUUUUAAGGAUUUCCUGUGUAAAGAAAUGUUGAUUUUGACAAAAGGUUCAACAGUUGUAAAAGUACCAAUAUUGCGUCAUGUAUUGUACUUAAAGGUGGAUAAUCAGAUUUUGGCCAUGUAACGGAUUUGUUCACUUAACACUUAAUACAAAUUAGAUUUUCACUGGAGGUAUUUUUAAAAUUUCAUUUUCCUUUCCUGGUUGCCCAACCAAGAUAGAGUUAUUUUAUCAUAAGUAUAAAUUUGAUAAACAUACUUUGCCUAAGGAAAUGUAUAAAUAUUAGACAUAUUGUACCGGUAAUAUAUUUGUAAAAUAUUUGCAUUAAAAAUUAUGUAUUUAGAUGGAAUUCAUUAGAAAAGCAAGUUUGAAAAAUUAUUAUUACCUCCCUUUGCCUAUCUUGGUUUUGCAACCAAGAUAGAUUGGAAAUAAAUGAAUUCAGAAGCUACACACAGCUUUUAAACUUGCAUUUUGGUUCAGAUUGUUCAAUAGUUGAUAUGUCUAUCAAAUGCAAAUGUAAAACUAGACAUUGUAUCGAAAUUAAAAGAAAUACCCAGCUUUUUAUAUACUUUCAUAUUAAAGGGGAGUAAUUACAAAAUUUUAUAAAAAUAAUAGAAUAUACAUUUCAAACAGGAAUCUAACUCUAUGUAAUCGGUCUUUUUGUUCCUUAAAUAAUUCUCUACCAGAAUAUACAAAAAGUAAAAAAUGUCAUUAAAUGUUGUUUAAAUGUGACUGACCACCUUUAAAUUAUAACCCCAUGUACUGACUAGCCAAUGGCUAAAGCGAACAACUGAAAUUCUGGCUGAUUUUCCAACAAAUUUAAGAACUGUUCAUGUAAGAUGGUCUGUUAAUCUUGAGAAUGGAUUCAUUGUUGGCUAUACAGACAGACAGAGAGACAGACAGAUAUUUUAUUAACGUCUUACUUUCAUACAUAAUAAUAUGAUAUACAUUAAUAUACAAGACAUAAUUAUAAGAUUCUAAUUUACCAACAUGUACAUUUACUUAUUUAUUUUUUUUAAUUUUGUAUUUUGAUAAUUUUCAAAAAGAAUUGAGAGAUGUAUUCUGAAAUUGCAGAGUGUAGUUACUGAGGAUUAACUUGCCUUGAAAUGUGCAUGGUCAGGGGUUGUCUGAAUAAAUUUACUUAAGACUUAAGUCUACAUAAGUAUAUCUGUCCUUCCAAAGAAAUAUUUACAUUUUAUGAUUGAAUCUUGCAAAAUAUUGCAGAAACAUCUGUCCUGUAGAACAUUUGAUAUAAUACGCUUUUUAAAACAAGAGUUUGUUCUUUUUUCAGAAUUGAACACAUUGGCUGCUAAAAGAUCCAUGAAUGUAUUAUGUAUAUUUCUUAAUGUUUUGAUAGGAUAUUUCUCGUUCUUGGAUAUACAUUGUUCUUUGUUCAAUAUGUUUCAAUGACAAAAUAAAUGUACAU